ensembl:lncRNA
ACGUGUUCCUAAUACACAGCACGCUGCCGCCGCCAUCUUCUUUCCAGCAGGCGGCCUCCAGCACUGACUUCCCUGGCUUCCACUCCACCCAACCCCUCCUGAGAAAGGCUCAGGGAAGUUCGCUUUUUCUCCAUCCCACCUGCUUAUCCAAGCACCAUCCUCUCGCGUCCGGAUGAGAGGGAUAAGACCACUUAACCAGUUAAGUGAUAGCCCCCAGCCUCUUAGCCACUGGGACGGCGGAGCCACUGAGAGCGAGCCCGGGAUCCCCAGCCCGGGGUUCAGGGUAAACAAGAUUACCUGGGGUGGCAGGAACUGGUGGAGACAGAAGGUGUUUCCAAACUUAAUCUGAAAUUAAUUAGAAAACGAAACAAGCCAAAGGACAAACAUCUGUGAGCAGAUGAUGUGCAGAGGCAAACAAAUUGGACACAUCACAUUCCGCUUGAGCUGGGAGUAGGAUCCUGCCAGGCUACAUAGGGAGUAGCCGGAGAGGCUUUCAGGGGGAGCAGUCUCAGUGUUUACUUCUCAGGAUCAAAUGACGGAGCAGCGCCAAGCUCCAAAGAUGCGGUCAGGGAGAGGGCUCUGCAGGGGAGCUGUGCGUCGGGGAGAUGAUCAUAAAAACUCAUCAGAACACACGCUGUUCAGGACCUGGGAGUGAGGAGCAGAGUGGUGCGUAUGAGAAGGGAGAAGCCUCCUGAAGCAGCCAGGACCGGGGGCUCGCCCGUACCCCACGACAACCUUCCAGGCGGGAUUGGUGGUGAUGGCUGUUUCAGGGCGCCUCCCUCACAACCCCCUUGCCAUUGCUGAGUCAAGGUCUCCCUACCUAAUGCAGGACAUGGCAGCUCCCCUGACCAUGGGAGCAGGCUUCCUCGUGCACCCGGCAGGCUGGAAGGGGUGCCGGCACUGAGGUCCCGGAAGCACCCCUCCACUCCGUGUGCCCCCAGGUGGACUGCUCAGACACGGCCCAUGGAGGAGCCCACGGUCCCGGCUGAGCGCGUGCACACGCGGGACCUGCCACUUUGGGCAUCCUCACUGGCCUCCUCACCACCCCCUCCCUUUCCCCUUCUCCACCUGCUUCCUGGGACCAGUCCCCAAACAAGCUGCUAGCACCCCAAAUCUGACCCGAGCUGGGGGCUGCUGCUAGGAAUGCAGACAGACAAGGAUGUUGGUGGCAAGCAGACGGGAUGGGGGUUGGUAACCUGGAUGAGUGAGAGACACUGUGCACAGACCUGUCCCAAAGCCGGAGAGAUCCCUACGGGGACUCUGGUGGUUCCGACUCCCGUUUGGAUCAACUGCCUGGUGACCUCAUCACCGCCGUUCCCCAGAUCCACGUCAGCCCUGAAGUCGGGGACCCCCGGCACACAGGAAGCCACACUCGGAGCAUUACCUUAGCUCUGACCCCAGCAGACACCAAGCAACCCUGCCCUCUUCUUUCUAAAGAGGGAGCAGACACCCAAGGAUUCUUACCCGAGUUAACAGCUCCCCUCGCCUUGUGCAUUGCGGUCACUUGUAUCUCAGCAAGAAUGAGCUGGAAGUCUGCCGAUGGAGGUGGGAGAGAAAAUGGGUCCUGGGUCCUUCUGGUCCUAGGGCAGGGGGGGCCCGGCUCCAAUGCCCUCCGGCCCAGCAUUUCAGGUGUCCGUGUCACCUGCCUGAGCCCCUGCUACUCCACUCGCCUGUUGGUGAGGGACAGAAAAGCUCCCUCACUAGGCUACUGUGAGGACUAUGGGAGAUGGUCAGCACCAACUUGUGGAAUUACAACCCAGAGACAGAGAUGACAGAGCACAUCAACUACACUGAGUAGAAGUUGCUCUCUCUUCCAUAAUGUUUCCUCCAUUGUUUUUUGCAUCAUAUCAAGCACAGGAAGAUACACCUGGAUCUAACACAUGUUGUAAAUCAACUAUACUCCCCUCCCCCCUAAAAAAAAAAAAAAAAAACCAUGAGGGUAGGAGGGGCUUUGUGGGAGCCCUCCUUUCCUCUCCUCCCACCCCUCCACCUCAUCACAGAUGCUAUUGGCGAGCAUCUGUUAUAAGCCACAUGCCCGCUCAGCGUUUUCUCACUAAAUGCUCCCCACACCACCCUCAAAAGACGAGAGCUGCCUCCCGUCCCUGCCCCGCCCCAAGAACGCUCGGCGAAGAUGGACAUGCGCCACACCUGAGCUGCCCAAGACAGCAACACCAGCGACCAGCUGCUCAGUGUUUGGCCUGUGCCUCGUGCAACCAACGGGCUUUUACUUAAUUUUAAUUCCUUAUGCACAACUAGCCACAGGUGAAACUGGUCACCAUGUUGGACAGCAGAGAUACACACGGGGGUGAGAAAGAAAAGCAAACUGAAGUCUAAAGGAGUUCGGCAACUGCCCAAGGCCACGGACCUGGAGGAAGGUGGAGGUCAGAGCUGCUCCCACUCUCCGCAGCUUCCCGUGUGCGUCUCCUAAAGCGAACGGCCAAGCUGGCCGUGGACUUACUCAGACACAGGAGACGAGAUCUGAAAGUCAAGACGGGCCGGGUGAAAAAGACACUCAGCAACCAGAGAACGGGCUCAGAGAGACAAGGAAAUGAAUAUUCAAAGAAGAUAAUGGUGGUGGAAACGCUCUGUAAACUGUGAAGUGCUGUCUCAGGGUGGGGGUUAUUAAUAAUCCCCUUUGGCACUGACUCCACGGCAAAGAUUUCUUGUCCCUCUCCAUAUCCUGCUGCUCUGUUAAUCGUUAAUUAAAGCUUAAGGGAUUUGGGAAUACAGGCCUCUGAAAUUUGGACUAAACCCUCCAUGUUAUUGAAAAGAAAAAAAAAAUAAAUGAAGAAUUUUGGAUAAUUAGCUUUUCUUUCCCUAAAUGCUUUCUGGGUGUCAUUACAAACCAAGUGCCAGGCUAAUAUACCUUGUGUUGUGAAUGCCUCACAAUUCCUGCUAAUUGAAUUAAACCCAAUUCUCUGCAAAUAAACUCUUGGUUGUUCUUUAAUGGCAAAUAAGGAAUAGAGCUGUUUCUUUCUGGAACGGGUCAUUACAAGGCCCUAAUUACCAGCAUCUCAACGUGUUAACGCCAGCCUAACGCAAGGCGCCUUUAUGUCGGCUCCUGACAAUGACGGCUCUGUCAAGAUCAAAGUUGUGGCUUGCCCUUGGAAACUUCUCCCUGUUUUUCCUCCACUUCAAAAUAUUUAAUAACGACUAAUCAAAUUUCUAAGACGGCAGAGAAAGGACAAGAGGACAGAAGUCCCCCUUUUUAAAAAAUAUAUAUAUAUAUUCAGGACAAAUAUUUCAAAACUGACACACUGCUCAUGCCUCCUCCCUCCCCUUUCUUUCUCCCUUGGACACAGCACACGUCGUGAAGUUGCCAAUGAGUGAAGGAAUCUGUGCCUCUGGAGCUGCAUGCCAGCCCAAGGUGAACGGAGGAGCUGCACAGAGUAAUCGGAUGUCAGAGAAGAAGAUGGAUUCCUCGAACAGGGAUGUUAAUGGCUACCCUGCUUCAAGGAAUGGCUUGGGUAUGACGUGUUAUAAAUAGCAAUGUGGAUAAAGUGACUGGUGUAUAGCAGAUGCUCAGUAAAUGGAAUCCCACCAUGGCUCACUGGUAAAGAAUCCACCUGCCAAUGCAGGAGACGCAGGAGACAAGAGUUUGAUCCGGGUUGGGAAGAUCCCCUGGGGAAGGGAAUGGCUACUCACUCCAGCAUUCCUGCCUGGAACAGAGGAGCCUGGCAGGCUGCAGUCCAUGGGGUCACAAAGAGUCAAACAUGACUGAGCACGCAUGCACAUACCGUGUUUUUAAUUAUCAGGCUGACCCUCUGUAUUUCCUUGACCCAUGUAGAUGUCCACUUCCCCCACCAGACAAUCAGUUCUUUGAAGGGAAAGCAUGGGCCCCAUUAACUCCUGUAUCUCUAGCACAGCUCCAGGCAUGCGCCUGGUUUGGAAAAUGUUUGUGUAAUAAACUAACAAAUAAAUACCUGCAUGUUUAUUCAUAAUGGAUAAAAAAGGAAUGGAUACCUGGAACA